rnacentral:rRNA from 1 species
CCUACGGGAGGCAGCAGUGAGGAAUAUUGGUCAAUGGGCGCGAGCCUGAACCAGCCAAGUAGCGUGAAGGAUGACUGCCCUACGGGUUGUAAACUUCUUUUGUCGGGGAGCAAGGCCCGCCACGUGUGGCGGGAAGGAGAGUACCCGAAGAAAAAGCAUCGGCUACCUCCGUGCCAGCAGCCGCGGUAAUCCGGAGGAUGCGAGCGUUAUCCGGAUUUAUUGGGUUUAAAGGGUGCGUAGGCGGAAGGUUAAGUCAGCGGUCAAAUGUCGGUGCUCAACACCGGCCUGCCGUUGAAACUGGUCGUCUUGAGUGAGCGAGAAGUAUGCGGAAUGCGUGGUGUAGCGGUGAAAUGCAUAGAUAUCACGCAGAACUCCGAUUGCGAAGGCAGCAUACCGGCGCGCAACUGACGCUCAUGCACGAAAGUGUGGGUAUCGAACAGGAUUAGAUACCCCUGUAGUC